GAUCCUGGCUCAGGAUAAACGCUGGCGGCGCACAUAAGACAUGCAAGUCGAACGAACUUAACCAUUAGUUUACUAUUGGAGCGGUUAGUGGCGGACUGGUGAGUAACACGUAAGCAACCUGCCUAUCAGAGGGAACAACAGUUAGAAAUGACUGCUAAUACCGCAUAUGCCUUAGAAUCACAUGGUUCAAAAGGGAAAGGAGCAAUCCGCCGAUAGAUGGGCUUGCGUCUGAUUAG
rnacentral:rRNA from 1 species